CUGACAUUCUUUAGCGCCUGAAGUCCACCCAACAGGGACAGCAUGGGCAGUGGUUGGUGCAGGCUUCUUCACACACUGCUCUGUCAGCAUGUCCCAUCCCUGACUUCCGGUGACCACCUCCAUGAGUGAAAGGGGUGUUAAGUCUCCAUGACCCAUUUACUCCACAGCUUCU
ensembl:misc_RNA